CAUGUUGUUAUUUCAGCAGAUAUUUAUUGAAUGCUGUCUGCGUGCCAGGCAGGUUGUGGGUGCUGAAGGAUCAGCAGUGAACAAACUUGUGCAGUGUACCUGCCCAGGUGGAGCUUACAUUCCAGUGAUAGCAAACAGACAGAUAAGUAAAAUGUGUAGUGUUGGACAGUGAUGCGUGCUAAGGAGAAAGAAAAAGAAAACCAAGGAUAGGGCACAAAGUCUGUGUAUGUGUUAGGGGCUAGCGUGCACUUUUAGUUAGAAUGGUCAAGGGAGGUCUCAGUGAGAUGGUGACAUUUGAAUAACUGCCUGAAGGAGGUGAGGGAGCAAGCCCUAGAGACACCUGGAAGACAUCCCGGACCUAUUUCUAAUUCAGACACUUGAAAAUGUAUAUUUUGAUUGAACAUUGUUAACUAUAUUAAGGUCAUACAAUUUAACCAAUCCUGAUACUGUUUCUGGUGUUUUUCCCAGUGCAGACAACUUUGAGAUGGACACUUUUGAGUGAACUGUCUGGGGACAUUUUCUCACCUUAGGAUAUGUUUCUAGAGUGGGGAACUCCUGAGAGAUUAUUAUUUGAUGGAAAAAUAAUAGAAAUUCCUUUUACUUAAAGCUUAGCUGUUAGAAACCUUUGUCAGUUGAAGAUAUUUUAUCUUUGAAUAUGUAAUACAGAUCAAUGUAGACUUUAUAAAAAUAACCAUUUAAAAAUAAGUAAUGCUUUUAAGUAAUUUUAGAGUACAUUCUCUAUAAACUUAGUUUACUAAUGCUUCCCCAUCCCCACUCCAAAUUUAUGUCCACUCGGAACCUUAGGAUGUGACUUUAUUUGGAUACAGGGUCUUUGAAGAUGUAAUUAGUUAAGAUGAGGUCAUGGCCCUCAAUCUGACAUGAAUGAUGUCCUUAUAAGAAGAGAAGCCAUUAUAGACACACAUGGAGGGAGUGAAGAGGCAGAGACUGGACUUAACGCCUCCAUGAGCUAAGGAACAGCAAGGAUUGCUGGCAGCCACCGGAGGAAAUAAGGACGGAUUCUUUGCUAGAAUAUUUAGAGGAAGCAUGGCCUUGCUGACACCUUGAGUUUGGAUGUCUGGCUUCUAGGGCAUGAAACAAUACAUUUCUAUGAUUCUAAACCCCACGGUUUGUGGUACUUUGUUACGGCAGCCCUUGGAAACUAAUACAAUUAGGAAAUUUAUUUUACUUCUGACUGCUGUGUUAGGGCCAGGUCAAUGGAGUUAAAGUUUUCUCCUGUGGAAACUUUCAUUUAAACAAAACUUUCAACAGAAGUACUAUAAAAGUAUACAACACAGGUAGAAUUCUCUGAUUGCAGGGAGAGGGGGCACUGUGAAAACUUCCCAGAUUAGCAUCUCUUCCUGUUCUCUGUCCCUCUCCUUCCUGCUCUGUAGAGCACAGAUUGAAAACCACUGGUCUGGCCUAACUUGGAAACAUGGGCAAGAAAGUCAGAGAGGAGCCCGAGGUCAAAUGUGCUGCUGCGGGCGGUGCUGCUGCUCUGAGGCAGAAUCCCAGAGGGGAGCUGCGCCGUGGGAGCUCCUCCUCCAGCUGCUCUGUGCUCCUGGAUAGAAUGCCUUCGGAAAUCUUGCUGAAGAUAUUUUCCUACUUGGAUGCUGUGAGCCUGCUGUGUAUUGGCUGUGUGAACAGGCGCCUUUAUCAUCUGGCCAAUGACAAUUUUAUUUGGAUCAGAAUCUACUCAACUGCUUUUCCAUCUAAAAAAUCUAAUUGGAAAGUUAAUACAGUAGAGGAGACGGCUGUGUCUAUGAGCGUACUGUCAGUUGAAGAUAAAGAAGCUGGAUAUUGGAAGAAAGAAUAUAUCACAAAACAAAUAGCAUCUGUAAAAGCCACACUAGCUCAGGUUCUCAAACCUGUCAACCCUUACACAGGCCUUCCGACGAAGACCACAGAGGCCCUCAGAAAAUCUGGCUUAGGUUGGGCAAUUAUAUUGAAAGAAAAAAGUGGAAAAGAAUAUAUCAUGGAGCAUGUUGAUCUUUCCAUAAAUGACACAUCAGUUACUGUUCUGUGGUAUGGCAAAGACUGGCCGUGUCUAGCGUCAUUGUCAACCUUAGACUUGUGUGGUGUGACACCAGUUUUUAUGGACUGGUAUAAAACCCCCACCAAAAAUAGACCUCGAUGGCAUUCUUUAAUUACAAAGUACAAUCUGAGCCAUUUAACUGAAUCCACCAUGCUUGGCUGGGACAGACUCGUUCGGAUCUUCUGCCUAAGCCCUGGCCUUCUGGUGGGGCUGUGGAAGAAGAAGGAAGAACUGGCUUUUGUCAUGGCAAAUCUUCAUUUCCAUCACCUUGUGGAGAGGAGCUCAUUAGGCUCGGCCACUACCCCCUACGAGCCGCCUCCUCACAGCCCCUUCCUGGAUGACAGCCCCGAGUACGGCCUGCACGGCUACCAGCUGCAUGUCGACCUGCACAGUGGUGGGGUUUUCUUCCUGUGUGGUAAAUUUCAUGAUCUCUUCACCAAGAAAGGUGUCUGUCUCUGAAGAAAUCUUGCUUACGAGUGAGGAUGCCACUGUGUUAUCACACUUGAUAGUUGCCUUUUGGGGUAUGUUAAAAUGGAACUGGGAGCCCGGAGAGUGCUUUGGGCUCCUUCCCUGCCCCUGUGCCCCCUGCCCCAUCACCAGAGGCCCAGGAGAGCAGAGCAGAGUGCGGCUUGGGUGGAGCGGCCCCUGAGCAGUGUGAGGUUGGGGUUGCUGUAGCCGCCUUUGAGUGCAUGCAGAGUGGUGUGUUUGUGUCCCGUGCUGGGUUCCUGCCCAACCUCCGCAUGUCCGCCUGCUCUCUAAUCCCGCGUUUCCUGGGGCAGCUUUCUCAGUGCUUCCUCUCAUUUGAUUUCCGUUCUUUGCCGUUUCUGCCUCUGCUUUCUUUAGUUCUGUAAUUCUGGUUUUCUGUUGCUGUCACUGUUGGCUUACCCAAGUCAGAAGAAUCUGUGUCUCCACACAGUCUUGGCAUCGUGACAGGAAACAUUGAAAACGGAUAUGUGAAGCUCACUGUUAUAAAUUCGAAAAUUAACAGAGAACACCUACCUCUUAUCGGAAAUGUUGGCCUCUCUUGGAGAACUAAUGUUCUUGAUGGCUGUAUAAAGGCUAUUCAGAUUUAAUUGUGGCAGAAUUAGCAACUUCGCUGCAGUGUGGCUCCAUCACUCGCCCCUUCCGUGGGCCGUGAUUGUCAUAGACCCGGCAACACGAUGCUUCAGUUACUGCUUUGAGCCUUCUAAUGUUGGAUGUGGAGCUGAGCAGAGAAGAAGAGACCCUCAGCCUGUGUGCCCGGCACUGUGUGGGUGCUGAGAGAUCACGCGGCUACCUCAGUUGUCCCACGACGGCACUGGGACGUUCCCUGCCGGGCAUCUUUGACAGCAAGAGCCAAAAAGAACCAAGUCUAUCAAAGUCUAAUUGCUAACUGAUAUUCUAUGUCACGUUGAGCAUUUCAGUCUGUUGAAGAAUAACAAGGAGCCGGUUUGGAGCAAAGCGCAGCGCUGCAUUUAUAUAACACAUCUCCAGUGUCAAGUUAGCGGGGUUCCCAUCGACCCUUGGGCAAUCGUUUACUUUUGUGGCUAAGUUAAGGCAGCGUGCUGAAGUUUCUACCAUCUGGAAGACAGGAGACUUUAUGUAUGGUUUUACUAACAGAUCCUAAAAGUGACCAUGUUUCCUCCUGAGUCAAAACUCUUUAGCGUGGUCAUGAGGUGCUGGAAGACGUGGUCUUUCCCAUCUCAGUCUGAAAUCCCGACGCUUGCCCGGCACCGAGAGCUUCAGCCACUCUGCACUGCGCAAUGGAGCCUCCAGGUGCGGGCUGCUGCACCUCCCCGGGCCUGUGCCCGCGACCUUCCCUCCUGUCCUUACCUGUUUGGCUAAUAACCUCCCACAAGGCGUGGUUCUGGUGGCACUUCCUAUUCCAAGGGCUGCUUUCCCUUCCUUGGCCCCUCGCAGGUCCUGCUAGAGCGCUUAGCACGCGCUUGCUGUGAUGCCCGGCUUGUGGGCCGCUCCUGCCAGACCGCAGGUCCUUGGCAGAGAGUUGUACUUUACCUGUCUCUGUUUCUCCUCCUCCUGGCGUGGCUCCUGAAUUUAGCAUAUUAAAUUAUAACUUUGGAUUGUUGAUAAUCUGAGGAUGGUGGCUACUUUUUCACAUCCAGAAUGUUUUAUUUUACAACCUGCAUGAUCGAAAAUGGAAUAAAUCAAUAUUUCUUCAAAAGUUGGCAACAAUGAGUGUUGAGUUAAUAUGACUCAGUGAGUGUUGAGUUACAUUAAUAACUCCAACUCUGAUUUGAGUUAUUAAUAUUCGGAAGGGUACCUCUUACUUUUGGUUUGUUUUUGUGUUCAGAACUGAGAAAAUAUUUUCUUUUAAUUCCCCUUCUUCCAAAUAUGUGUCUCAGACUUUUUUUGGGAGAAACCCUUGUCUUCUGCAGCCCCGACAAAGGUUGGCCCUGACCUGGGCAAGAGCCAGGGAACAAGGAGAGAGGAAAGGAUAUUUACCAACUGUUAACUGCUCACCUGGAAUCUUGCUACAGGAGUGAUGUGCUUUUCUCUUAGUCUCACUUUUUAUGUGGCAGUGAGCUGUGUAUAUGUAAUAUGCCUGGGGGGAUAUGGAAAGGAUGAAUGCAUUUCAUGUGGGUAUCUAAAAUUGUCAUCGAGCACGAGCAGGCAUAGCACGUACUGAACACUGCAUGAGGACUUCUACAUGAAAUGAAAAAUUGUGGGUAUACUGGUCCUCUCUGCUUUAUUUUUUAUUAUUUUAUUUAUGCAGCUCAGGUACCUAGAACUUUAUUGCAGAGGAUUUUCAGAUAUCUAGAAAUAAGAUAAACUCAUUUAUUUUAGUAUUAAUGGAGUAAAAUUUGACACUAUGGCCAUGCUAUCAUAAAUAUCUUCAGUCUGAUCAAUAAGACUGAUAGCUUUUUUCUGUGGUAUCUGUCUGGAUUUCUAUUAAACCACGGUGACAAGUGGAAUAUUAUCCCCAGCAUGUGUUUUCCAGUGAAGCAGAGGGUCAGUAGAAAGUGUAUAGUAAGGAGAAGACAGUUUCUAAUUUCUUUUUCAAAUAGCUUCAGCAACCUUGACAUAAUUAUCUGUAGAAUGUUUUGUGUUGAGCAUAGAGAACUCUUUUUGGUAGUCAGGAAUCUUCUUCCUUUUUUUUUUGGUCUCAGGGAAAAAAUAAUCUUUAGGAGAUCUUGGGCUGAAGGAUUUAUGUUGACAAGAAAUUUUACAUCAGUUUUCAGGAGGAUGGAAUGACUUAAAAUGAUCUGUGGGAGGGAACACACAGAUAAUUCUGGGAUUAUGGUAGAGAAAGAGAGAUUGAUAAUAAAAGCUAGGAAAAAAUGUGUGUUUCAAAAACAGCACAGUUUGAAAAGCAAUACAAUUUAUUAUUGUUUUAUUUUAAUUUCUAAAUGUUUCUGAAGCAAUCUUAAAUUGCAAAGAAGUUGUAAAUACAGUACAAAGACCUUUUAUUUUUAUAACCUAUUUGAAAUUCAGUUGCAACAUGAUGCCCUAUCUCCUCUGAAGACUUAGAGGAGUGUAUUUCUUACAUAGUAUAAUAACCAAAAUCAGGAAAUUAACAUCAAUGUUAUGACCACCCCACCCGAAUUUUGCCAAUUGUCCCGGUAAUGCCAUUUGGAAAACCCUCCAACCAAGAAUUACGCGGUGCCUGCAGUUGUCAUGUGUCAUCAGUCUCCUUCAAACUGGAGCAGUUCUCCAAUCUUCCUGGACUUUUUAUGACCUUGGCACUUUUCAAAAUUACAGGCCAGUUGUUGUGCAUGAUACUCCUCAGUUUGGAAUUGCCCCGUGUUUCCUCACGACUGGAUUCCGGUUAUCCGUCCUUGGCAGGAACAGCCCUGAAGUGGUGUCGUGUUCUCCUCGCGGCCUAUCAGGGGCACACAGUUUCAGCUGGACCCACCGCUGGUGGGGCUCACUGCAUCGCCUGAGGAAGAUGGGCCAGCCUUCUUCCCUGGAAAGCUACCCUCUUCCCUCUUUGUGAUUAACAGGCAUUUUGUGGAAGAGAUAUGCUAGGUUAUUUAAAUAAAUCCUUCCUCAUCAAACUUCAAUUUAUUCAUUUAUUUUAUUAUAUGAGUAUGGCACAACGACAUUCAGUUUUAUCCAGUGAGUUGGAAUUCAUUGCUGUCGUUGCUUAUUUUGAUGCUUUCAUGGCCCCAGACUCGGCCAGAGGAAGCCCCUUCGGUCCUACUUCUGGGUCUUCCUGAUGCACCUCCACUGUCAUCCUUUCUGGACAAGGAGAUAUGUCACAUGUAUCUUGUGCUCUUCCUGCUCCAUUCCUAGAAUUAACCAUUUCUACAUUCAGUACUGACUCUUUUUAGUGCGGAAUGGCAUAUGUAGAAACCAAGAUCAAGGGUAGCACCAAUCCCAGGCCCUCUUAGUGGGCAGAGGUAGGACUGUA